rnacentral:rRNA from 1 species
GACGAACGCUGGCGGCGUGCUUAACACAUGCAAGUCGAGCGGUAAGGCCCUUUCGGGGGUACACGAGCGGCGAACGGGUGAGUAACACGUGGGUGACCUGCCCUCAGCUCUGGGAUAAGCCUGGGAAACUGGGUCUAAUACUGGAUAUGACUCCACGGUGCAUGUCGUGGGGUGGAAGGCCUUGUGCGGCUGAGGAUGGGCCCGCGGCCUAUCAGCUUGUUGGUGGGGUGANGGCCUACCAAGGCGACGACGGGUAGCCGGCCUGAGAGGGCGACCGGCCACACUGGGACUGAGACACGGCCCAGACUCCUACGGGAGGCAGCAGUGGGGAAUCUUGCGCAAUGGGCGAAAGCCUGACGCAGCGACGCCGCGUGAGGGAUGACGGCCUGG